UUGCCUUCCGAUGUAUCUUUUGAAGAGAAAUACAAUUUUUUCGUUAAUCGAUUUUAUAAAACACCGACUUCAUGCAAAUCGCCCACAUGGAAACGGAACAGAUUAAUUUUUUUUGCUCAAGAAAUACGGAACUACGACCCAAUCCUAUGUUGCGAUGGGGUGAUAUUAAGUACUUACUGAAUAAGACUAAUGCACUUCUUGUUUCUCUUCUUCAUGAAGACGUUCCUCGACCAAGAUUCGGAGGAAGUGCAAAAAGAACAACUUUUCCUGCAUGUGAGACAGACCUACAGGUGAUUUAUCCAUCUUCGGAUAAGUUUGGCGAAAGCAAGACGAAGAUUCGUUGUAGUAAAGCUCCAAUCACAUUGCUAGUCGAUGGUAAAGAAAGACUCCAACAACUGAGUGAAAAACUAAAUGUGGAGAGCUCUUUUUGUAACGCGAAUAACGAGAUGCUGAACGUUUUAGAUGACUUGCUUAUUGAGUUUGAGACUUGCAAUGCUCUACUUGGUGAAUUCAUGCAAUCCCAAGUUCACAUCCCUCUCGAGCAAGGUGGUAACGACAAGUACGUUGAUGAAUUUGCCAGACACGAUGCCGACUCAAGGGGUUUGUCUGUGUGGGCAUUGUUGAUUGUGCCGUUUAACUAUUUGCAGCAAAUGGUAAGAUCAUCUGGAAGGUUUGGAAAAAUUGUCAUUGAAUUCUCUCGUCGCAUUAACGAUUUUCGGGAGUACAUAUUUCCUUCCGAGGAACUCGAGUUUCCUGACUACGACGAAAAGUUAAACUUUCUUGUGGGUAGCAUGAAGAAAGGAGUUACAUGCAACAAGAGUUACAUCAGUUAUUCUCUCGAACGCCAACUUGAGCGCCAAUGCAAGAAGAGGAACAUUUUUCACAACACUCCAAUUGAAAAUAUUCUUCAACAAUGGAAUGCUAACUUUGAGGAAGAAACUUUGACGCUAGUGCCAUAUGAGUACCGUCCACUGAUUGCCCGAUGGAUCAGAUGGUCAUUGAUGAUCAAUUACCUUAGAGAGAGUUUAGCCAAGCAGUGCGCAGUCGGUGUUGUGGGACUGGUUAAUUCUGGGAAAUCAAAGUUUGUCAGCUCCAUGUUUGAAGUACAGAUGAACACAUCAAAGGUUUGGAUGUCAUUGAUUUUCCUGGUGUUGAUGAUCGUGAUGAGUCAAUUCCGAAAAUUGCUGAAUUGCUGUUUUGUUUGACUCGGAUUGUCGUAUUUGUUGUCGAUUACUGGUGACGAAGCUUUUCUUGAAAUACUUUUUUCAACCAAAAAUAUUUCCGUAAAUUGUUUUGAUUCCCGUCAUAUAAGAUGUCUUCUCAACACAUGUUUGAUUCAUAGAAUUAAUAAGCUGAUAAAAAGCCUCCUGGGGACGAAUGAUAUUAUGUACACCUUUUUUCAACUUACCUACUCUUGAAAUCGACAUUUUGUAAAAAAAUUUUAUCUGAAUUACUGAAGGCAGUAAGAGCUUGUGAGCAUUCUAUGUCAGUAUAUGAAAAUCUCGCCGUUUUAGGAAAGUCCAUACAGAAUCAACGAAAAAAUGGCUUUCCAUACUUGAGAAGGAAAAUGUUCCCGUUCUUAUUUGUCUAACAUUAGCUGAUAGACUCUUUGCUGAAUUAAUGGGGAAGGAGGUGAUUGUGGCAUGGAGACAAUAAAAGCCAGAGUGGAGAGUCAAUUGGAAUGCAUCAAGACUAAAAUUGGAUUGCCAGAAAGCGGUCAUCAACGCGACUUUAAACUGGCUGUGUUUGCUCUUGACAAUGAUUCCAAACUUAAUACUGACGAGGGGAAAGCAAUGCUACGUAGAGUUGGUCUUUGUGAUGAACUUGACGUGGGCCGUUGGAUUGCGGAGAAAUUAGAUGAUGAAUAUGAAUCACAGGAAAUCUCACAGAAUAUUCUCAAAUACAUAGAUAACAAGAAAAGCAGUACUAUAGACUCGUGCAAGGUUGGUGCAUUAUUCAAUCUAAAAUGAUGUGUCUAAAUUGAAAAGGGUAAUCAUUUAAAGGAACUAAUUUGGAAAAAGCGAAUUUAUUUAAAUAACUUUAUAUAACUUUUUAUUACUGUCUGUUGUUUUCAACAUUUAGCUACAAAACUAAACUUUCUAAUAAUUGAUAAUUUCAAUUUUUUAUCUUAAGUAACCACGUGUUUAAGUGUAUCUAAGAAGGAAAACUGGUUCAUAAAAAAUAAAGUCAUAGCAAAGAAGAAUGAAAAGAAUUGAACAAGUUAAAGCUUCAAAGCUAUAUUUUUUCAGUUGUCGCCAUUUUUGUUCAAGGUACUUUUGUUCCUCCAAGUUGUGUGUAUUUCACUCGUUAUAUAUAAUCAUCUCAAAUAGUUUUGUUGUUUUCUUACUUUGUAUUUUUCACUAAAUAAGAGGCAAUGCAUGACCAUGUUUUGUGUAAAUAAUCAAUAGCGCUGUAUUUUUUUUGGAAAAAUCAUUCAAGACCCUUUCAUUUUUUGA